AUACCCACGUAAUACGCACAACCCCCAUGCGUGUCGUAUAUCUUUGUUUUAUUUGCACUAAUAGUUUUAAUUCGUCAGAGACUCACUGAAAUUCGAACACGCGAAUGCGAAAUUCGAUACAACGCACCUAGGAUGAUCACCGUAGGGGAUUUUUCGAAACCGGAAAUAAAAACUAGAAAAUUCAAAUUAGAAUUUUUCAUUACCCCUGUUCGAUUUCAAGUUUUAUAACGUUAUCGCAAAAAUAUUUAACAUUGUGAAUGAUCUACACCGUUCAAAAUUGAAACUUGAUUUUUAUUCAUUACUUUUUUCAAAUUCAUUUUCAUUUUUAAACUUCUUACUUCAUCGUCAUAUAUGAGAAACGAUUUGAUUGCAAUCUAAAGUUUCUUCUCUAACAUACGUAUGAGAUGACGUAUGCGUAUGAGGCAUUCCACGUUUUGAAUUUGUUCGUGCGAUAUAUUUCCUGGUGAAAGCAGCACCCACGGUUUUUUUUGUUUUUCUCUUUCGGUUUUGAUUUAAUGCAAGCAUUUUUGAAUCAAGAGUUUCAAACUUUCAAAACUGGUACACGGUAAAAUCUUUGUAAGAAGCGUACCGUUGACUGAAAAAGAAAUGCAUAUUGGCAAAAUGAAAUUUAAAAUCAACGAACGAUCGAUUGCGAAUAGUUGCAUAAGGUGCGUCAUGCGCUAUUCCCAGAUAAUGUUAAAACGCAAUCGAAAUUGGCGGAUUUUUUUUUUUUCUACACAUUCAAUACGUUAUGUCAGUAAUGAAGCCCGGGAGGUAGGUUCCAUUCAAUCACAGAUGCUAUGAGGAUAUUUUCUUCAGGUAUAAAGAGACACGAACUGGUCGAGUUUCACGUUGGAAAACUGCAUCGCAUCUGGAUAUUACCUGAAGGCUAAAUUACACAUACGUUCGCAUCGUGGGUAAUAUACAUAUAAGUAUAUACACAAAAUUAAUCCAGUUGUCGCUUUUUAGAAUGCAUUAUAUGCUACAAAUGUAAUGUACCGAUUUAUUCGCGUAAGAAAUUGCGUAAUCCAUUUUUCUCGAUUGUCAAUAUUUAGCGGACGUAAAAAAUGCUAUGAAUUUAAUUGAAACAAUCACGUCUUCUCAAGGAUCCUCGAAUUUGACGGCGUCUUCCGAUACGCUCGGUAAUUUCUCGUGCACCUGGUUAUUCUUAAGAAUUAUUAUUGCACGCAGCCUGGUUAUACGUACAUUCUACUACUUCUGGGUUACAUAUUUUGUAACCGGAAGUCUUGCUGAGCGAAGUGCGGAUAAUCGGUUGGCUUUACACAUGUACAGAGGACGAGUGUGUACUCCGCGCGUGAAAUUUUCUUUAUCAUGAGAGUCAAAUCUUGAUACUUGAAAUUGUUCCUCAUCACGCUACACGCACGGAAUCUCCCGUGUGAGAGAUACCGAAUACCGAUGAAUUAUGCAAAUUCUCCCGUCAAAAAAAAAAACUGAAGAAAAAACAAAUCAGUAAAUGAAAUGAGGGCCGGGAUCUCCUCGCAUACGCGUGAUAUUAUAUACUUUCUUUUUCUUAUGCUCAACGCGAUCAAUAAUUGUAAUUAUUUUAUCGAGAUGUAAAAAUUCCAUCUUCCAAACAGAGAUGUGGAUGAAUAAAUGAGAGAGAAAAGAAAAGAAUGAAAAUAUUUUUGACAAUUCGUUCCAGCGGUUGUAAUUGUGAUGAUUUUUUAUUCCGUUCAACUUUUUGGGAUACGCCCUUACGGGCAGCCCCCGUAAUAUCUGGUUGGUUACACCUGAAAUGGGAAAGCUGUAAAGCGUGGGAAUAUUUGGAGUGAUUUUGUAUCGAGAAUUGACGAUUUUCAAUGUAUCUUUAUAUAUACUGUAGGUAUAUGUACAGUACUUUACGGAAUUUCUCAUUAAAGACAAAGGUGGGCCACUUUCUCCUCGAUAUGUGCAACGUCGGUAAAUAUAUGUUAGCGAGUAUAUAGUGUACAUAACGCAUCAAGUACAUGAAAUGCAUGAGGUAUACUGUAUCGUACGUAUAUACAUAUAAAUGUGUUGGCGGAUUCUACCUUCUUAUCUUCGAUUUCGAAUCUAAAGUUGAAAAAACAUUUUAAAGCUACCAGGAAUUCCUGUAGAUUUGACAUUCAAGGAUCUAUAAAUUAGACAAAAAAAAGCCAAACUGUUUGAAAAGAGGAAUUCGGAACUUCAGCCUUCAUCGAACGAUCGACGAUACAAAGUCUUUCGGUGGAAAUUCCUGCACCGAUGUUGCAAGAAAAAAGAAUAAAUAAAAACUAGAUGAACUAAAAACUAGUUCAGCGAGCAAUGAACGUAAUUCAUAGCUGUGUAUAAAUGAAAAGAAAAGAUUUAUGAAUCGCAAGAAUUUCUAGCAACUACGUUCAUUCAAUAAAUGAUAUUACCCGUUCUACAACGCUUCCCGCUGCACGCACUUGUUGUAAUAAUGGUAUGUAAUAACUAAAAGUACAUAAUAAUGAUUAGUUAAUAACAUUUAUUGUUGUUAUUAAUAUUGUUAUGUUAUUAUUGUCAUCAUCGCAGGUGAAGCAGACACCGUAGCGGAAAGUACGAACUCUCGGUAUCAGCUGUUGAUACGGCAGAUCUGCGGGUUAAAAUCGGUGAUCGUCCGUUGAAACCGAUUUUUCUAAGUAAUCAAUUACAUGCAAAUGAGAUGGACCGAAUGACCUAAGAAAAUUAGGAAAUAUAAUUAAGGUCUUUCGCAACAUGGCAAUAUAGUUAUUUCAUUUGGUCUGGUGGCAGGUAACGUUGAUCCAGCAGCUGAAGAAACUAACUCAUGCAUACACGUAUCAUGCGUUACGUCAGAGUUUAUGGCCCAAAGUAGGUGACCGGUGGAGACGCUACCGGGUGAAAGCAAGGGUCAGCCUAAAGGCCAUUCCGACACUAAUACAGUAAGUGCAUGCACCAUACUCCGUGUGCGGAUAUACAUACGCGCGGGUACGUGCAACAUUUGCCGAGAUUUUGAAUGAUUUCGUUUUUGAAUUUCUUCUACCUUUUUCACCCUUCGUUAUCGCCUUGCCACGUGUUUGGCUUGCUGGUUGAAAUCACUAUACGGUAAACAAAACUAUUUGAAAUUUCACCGGGUGUGUACGUCGAAUAAUCUUUCAUCGGACCGUUUCCAAAUCUCGAUCGAUUCGCCCCAAAGAUCUUCCAGGACCAAUCGAAUGAGUAAAAAGGAGGAUAAAUUUUACUUGAACUUUUCGGAUUGUUAUCUCAAUUGGAAAGCGUGGCUACGAGCAUGCAUUUUUCCUGCUUUGCAUGUAACACUUACCUCCGCGAUAUUGGCAGUUGUCGUUUUCUUACUUGCAGUCUGCAAUUGCAUAGUGACGGAAUAAUAACAAUUUCACGCGGGGUUUAAAAUUGUUCGUAACCAGGUAAUGGUACUCGGUAAUGCAAAAAAUGAAUUUUCAAUCACCGAGAUAACGACUGCAAAUAUCGUAUGGAUUAAAGAAGUUGCUGAAAUUAUUUGUAAAAAAAUGCAUAUACUCAACGGUCACGCUUUCCAAUUGUAAAGAAAUUUCUCAGUAUUUCUCAAAAUUAUUUGGAGCAGAUCCAAGGGGCGCGUCGAUUAAAAUUCAAAAAUAUGUCCGUAUUAAGUAAUUACCACCCACUGUUACACUUCUACGCGGUCCGAGAUUGAUCAAAACCUUUCUCCUGCCUUCUCCCCUCACCUGACUACAAUUUCUUCUUUUUUUUUUCUUUCUUUUUCUCAAAUCAGGUACUGCACGAUUAUGUAUACCAAGUAAUCUCGGUAGGUGAAUAAAUAAAUACAUUUACAUACACCUACGUCGAAGCGUUUCGCUAUAGUCUUCGCACAAUCGCUAAUUCUAUUCUUGAUUCUUCGCUAUGAUCGUGUUCAUACAGUACACCUACCUACGCCAUGCGGUCGGCGGUUGUCGGCUAAUUGUAAGUACUUACAUAGGUAUUGCGUGUAACAAUAUAAGUACACAUAUUGCAGAGACGCUGAUUAAUUGUGUGUGCUUUAUAUUAUAGGUACAUAAAUUAUCCUGCGUGCUUGGUAUUACAAUCUGUAAAUGCAUCUCGCGAUACGACCGGUGCUAAUCUGUUGAACAAAAGUGUAGGUCAUUCGGUAGAUAUAGGUGUAGGUACGUAUAGGUAUGACACAGAGAAUGCUUAAUUUAUGUAGCAUGCUUCAGUUUGCUCAUUCUUUAUAUUCAAAUAAAUGUUAUGCAGUACCCAUACUCAUAGUUAAACAGCCGACUCCUUCGAUGACUGUGACCGGUUAUUAUAUUAACAACUAGGAAGUACCUUUUUUUCCUUCCUCUGUCCCAGUUGAUGUCCGCGGGCAAACUCAAUUCUAAAAUCAUUUCAUUGACUCUCGGCUGUAAUUAUUCAAGGUACGCUAAUUUCUUUUUUCUUUAAAAUGACAGUAAUCGGACGAUCGUUGAUCAGAAAAUAGAAUGAAGAUCGAGGUGAAACAAAAAUUGUCCAAAGUGUGCCAAGUUCGUACGAAACAACGAAUGCGUGAAUUUAGCGAGAACGCUUUGCAUAGUAUGCGUUUUGUCGGUCGAUGGGACAUGACAUGACAUCUGAUUGAUCAUGUAUAUGUAUGCAACGGGGGUUUGCUUAUCGUAACACUUUACGGUCAGACGUUAAUCAUCUCGGUCAGUCCGACCGUACGCGUUUCGACUUCUUAUACACAUACGUGUGCAUUUCGACGACCGAAAAUCCCCGAAACUGAAACAAAUCGAGAACAACUUACGCCACAGUUUCGCGCAAGUUCAACGAGUUCAACGUACUCAUCGCAUGUAAUGCACCGGUAUCUUUCACCUGCGAUCAGCUUUGUUUCAUUCGAUCAGCUCCCGGUUCUCUUUUCCGUUUAUCAAAAAUUGUCGCGGUGGUCGAAAAAAUGCUUUCGUCUUCCGCCGAUCACCGUCGCGUUAUUACGCCGCAUGAAAUUCAACCGUGCAACGUACGUACGUAUACGUACCCAUGGCUACGUGAGUUUUACUCGAUAUCCUUGAACGCGGAAAUGGCUCCGUGCAUAUAUCGCGGAGUUAUUAAAAACACGCGACAUCCGCGUAGUACGAGGAAAUGUACAAGUUCGCGCGAUUCCCUACUUUCAAAAUCGAACGCGCUUUCACGGUGAUGAGUACGUACCGCACACAAGCGCAACGUAAGCAAUCGGUUGCCAUAGGCUCUCGCACGGUUUUGCCGUUGGAAUUCUCAAACGAAAUGCGAACAGAAGUCUUCCGUCGGUCGUUCGCCGCGCGGCAAUAAGGCGCAUAUCAUCGUCAAUAUAUACAUGUACGAGGAACGAACGAUCGUUCAACAGAUGUCCCGGUUUUUGAAGGAGGCCGUUGCCUGACCUUUCGAAAGUAUAUACCCCGCACACACACACACACAUGUGUGUAAGUAUAUUUUUUCUCUCCUUCUUUCCUUUAUCUUGUCCUUUUUGGUUGUUUUUUUUUUUUUUCUUUCAUUUUUUUUGUGGGUCUUGACGAAAAAAUAUAGUCCUUGUGAAAGUUGCCCUCUGGCUAUGGGUAUAUGUAUACGUUUGCCGGUAGGUAGAAUAAUAUAAUGUGUGUAUGUAACGCUACCGCGGUAUAUUCCUGUAGCGUUAUUGGACCCGAGGCAAUAACCGUGCAAAAGUGAGGUGAAUGAAAAAAUAAAAAUGACAAAAAAGAAAAAGAAAAGAGAAUCACAUUUUCAAGCGCUCGUUCGUUUGGUACGAUGCAAAUUCGCACGAGUUAUAGGGCAAGCGGCCUACAUGAGUCCGAUGGUCACCGCGUAUAUAUAUUUUCACUUUCGCUUGCGACGAGCUGCAUCGGAUCCUUUUACAGACUUUUACAUGCUUUUACGUUCUUCCCACUUGCUUUUAUUUUUCGCAUUUCUUUUUUUAUCGCUCCGAUCGAAUCGCUCAUCGAUUACGCCGCUGAUAGCGGCAAGAGGUUUCCGGUGAAGUUAUAAAAUUAUACUAACGAUAGACUUUCGGAGGAAUAUUCUAAGAUCUUUUGGAAUUGAACGGUAUGGUGUGUUUUUUUUUAGUUGGAGUUCCAUAGCGUAAUUAUUCGCGAUGAACGGUAUACAUGGUACCGUGGAAAUUUUACCGGAACGGUAAAAUUUUGCUCUUUUUUUUUUCUGUUUGUUUGUCGUAAUUAACAAUUGUUCUAGUUGUGCGAGUGAAAUCCUAACCGAUUAAUGCGAAGAUAUCUUCUACGGUCUCUUCGCU